GAUGAACGCUGGCGGCGUGCCUAACACAUGCAAGUCGAGCGAAGCGCCUUACUUGAUUUCUUCGGGAUGAAAGUAUUGUGACUGAGCGGCGACGGGUGAGUACGCGUGGAUAACCUGCCUCAUACAGGGGGAUAACAGUUAGAAAUGACUGCUAAUACCGCAUAAGACCACAGCACCGCAUGGUGCAGGGGUAAAAGGAGCAAUUCGCUUCAGGAUGGCCUCGCGUCCAAUUAGGUAGAUGGUGAGGUAACGGCCCACCAUGCCGACGAUUGGUAGCCGGACUGAGAGGUUGAACGGCCACAUUGGGACUGAGACACGGCCCAG
rnacentral:rRNA from 1 species